UCGAUUUUUUUGUCGGCGCUCAGUUCAUGUUGGUUUUUCGUACGGAGUGGUUCGCAUUUUGGUAAAGUUCGCCAGUUUCGCGCUUAAACAACUGGAGAAAACACAAAAAUUUUCAAUUUAGUUAUGGAAAUGGAAAAGCGAAUCUCCAAAAUGGAUUGUCUUAACAGAAACAAACGCAUGAAAAUGCAUAAUCAUUAGAAACUUAAUUAAUGUGCAUUAAUAAAAAAAAGAAUUACGCUCACAGCUUUUUAAGCAAAAGCCAAAAAGCAACAACCAAAACCAAAGACACAGUCAACUCUUUAGCAAAGUAAACUCUUCGUGAUUGUAAUUGAAAAAGAGAGCGGUUAAAGAGAGCGCGCGAGCGCACAUUGCUUUUGUUUACACGCCCAUUUGUGCGACUAAGAUGCGAUUGCAACAAAUGGAAACUACAUAAACAAAUAUUUAGCUUCGUUAAACAUUAAAUCAAUUUGGCAAUUAACUAAACAAAUUUGAACAACAACGCAACGCAAAUCGACAAUAGAAGCGGCUGCACUGGACACGCAAAUUCAAAAUCAAAGAGUUUGCGCAAAAGCAAAGAGAGCGUUUGCAUUGUGUGUGAGAGAGAGAGAGAGAG